CUGGGGCCCUCUGGGAGGGCACAGGUGGCAGAAGGAAGCAGGCCUGUGAAUGUGAAUGCGCAUUUGCGUUUCUGAGGCCUUGCUGAUCCCUCGCUUUCCUUUCUACCGUGAGUUGGCCCAUCCUUGUGGUUUUAGAGCCAGAGCGAGGAAAGUCUGGGUGAGGGGUGCGGCCGGGAAUGGGGCUCCGGUCCCCCCCUCCCACCGUCUCUUGGGUUCGCCCCCACCCCGGAGCAGCACGUGCACGUGUGUCGGAGCCCGGCCUGGGCGACUUGGGGGAAGCGCGAGAACUCAACGGCUGAGAAAUGUUCUCUCACGUCUGCACGCUGCGAGGAGAGUUAUGUUCCCCCCAUGAAUCGUGGGCAUCCGUUCCGGGGAGCUCUGACUGCUCAGGAGAAGGGGUGUGUCCUCAGUGCCUAGAACAGUAUCUGGCACAGAGCACCUGCUCUGUGAACAUCUGUUCACGAACGCCCCAAGCUUGCUGGGAUCCAGGACUCCUCCAUCAUUACAUCCUUGAUGAGAAUGUCCGAAGAAAGAAUCGUGGAGCCAGUGAUCAGAGACUUCCUGCAGGCUGACAUUGACUCAUUUACCAGCACCCCUUGAACUGGGUCAUUUGAUUAUAGAUCUACUGAAUCACCCAGUCCCUCAGCCCUGACAUGUAAGCUCCCAGAGGAAAGGAGGUUUGGGACCUGCUGGCUUCUGAAGUAGAGGUGAUCCAGCCCUGAGACCAUGGGGUGGACGACGUGACCUCUCAGACACCUGCCGUGUGUCCUUCCUUCCCCGAGUCCCUUCUGGUUCCUUGAGCCCCGGGCCAGGUGCGGCAGGAGGGCCGCCUGGCAGGACCCGUGCCACUGUGGGAGCCGCGAGCCCGGCCGGUGAGGCAGGGGCAGGGGUCCUGGGAGGAGGGUGGGGAGGAGCCACGAAAGACGCCUUCCCCACUUGCACGUGUCGGCCUCAGCUCUGGAAAUGAAAAGCCUUUUAAUUUCA